UUUUCUACAAAUCAGAAUGACCUGAAAUUUGGAGCAUGUGUUAAUCAAAAUUAGGCAAAUCUAAGAAAAAUAUCAUAAAAAUAUUUUACAUGAAAAAAGUUGACCAAAAUACCCCAAAAAUUUUUCGGAGGUAUUUUGGUCAAUUGUUUUUUCACGAGUUAUUUUUUUUAUAUUUUUAUUAGGUGCGGCUCACUCAGAUGUACACACGCUCCAAAUUUCAAAUCAUUCUGAUUUGUAGAAAA
rnacentral:pre_miRNA from 1 species